ACUCUAGUCUGACGUUGUGAAAUGACUUGGGAGGUGUAGAAUAAGUGGGAGGCUCUGCCGUCUGUGAAAUACCACUACUCUCAAUGUUGUUUUACUUAUACCAUGAUGUAGCAUCUGUGUGGCCUCGCGGUCGCUCAGUUCUAGUUGUAAACUUGGGCUUUUGCCUGGGUGAGCUACGUGGAAGACAUCGUCAGGUGGGGAGUUUGGCUGGGGCGGCACAUCUGUUAAAUGAUAACACAGGUGUCCUAAGGUGAGCUCAAUGAGAACAGAAAUCUCAUGAAGAACAAAAGGGUAAAAGCUCACUUGAUUUUGAUUUUCAAGUAUGAAUACAAACCGUGAAAGCGUGGCCUAUCGAUCCUUUAGUUCUUUUGAAN
rnacentral:ncRNA from 1 species